rnacentral:tRNA from 1 species
AAAGGGAGACCUAAUUCCAGUAGGAGACGAAAAAAAAGUAGUCCCUACCAAGAAUCAAUCCCAAAAGGUCGGAGCGAGGCAAAAUUGGCUUUCAAACUAGGUUCUGGGUUCACACAAGACCUGAAUCAGGAACAAGGGCUAUUAGCUCAGGUGGUUAGAGCGCACCCCUGAUAAGGGUGAGGUCCCUGGUUCGAGUCCAGGAUGGCCCACCUGCACAGGUGGAAGAAAGAAAAGAAGCUCCGAAUCAGCACCUUAUCUUACUUAUAUAGUAAGAGAGAAUGCUGGCUCUGAGUACAGAGUCCAGAGGAACCUUGAAAACUGCAUAGAGCUAGGUGAAAAAGCCAAAAAAGAAGACCGCAGG